GUACACUCCUACGGGAGGCAGCAGUGGGGAAUAUUGAACAAUGGGCGCAAGCCUGAUCCAGCCAUGCCGCGUGAGUGAUGAAGGCCCUAGGGUUGUAAAGCUCUUUCACCGGUGAAGAUAAUGACGGUAACCGGAGAAGAAGCCCCGGCUAACUUCGUGCCAGCAGCCGCGGUAAUACGAAGGGGGCUAGCGUUGUUCGGAUUUACUGGGCGUAAAGCGCACGUAGGCGGACUAUUAAGUCAGGGGUGAAAUCCCGGGGCUCAACCCCGGAACUGCCUUUGAUACUGGUAGUCUUGAGUUCGAGAGAGGUGAGUGGAAUUCCGAGUGUAGAGGUGAAAUUCGUAGAUAUUCGGAGGAACACCAGUGGCGAAGGCGGCUCACUGGCUCGAUACUGACGCUGAGGUGCGAAAGCGUGGGGAGCAAACAGGAUUAGAAACCCCUGUAGUCCCAUGAU
rnacentral:rRNA from 1 species